UACGAAGGGGGCUAGCGUUGUUCGGAUUUACUGGGCGUAAAGCGCACGUAGGCGGAUCGUUAAGUCGGGGGUGAAAUCCUGGAGCUCAACUCCAGAACUGCCUUCGAUACUGGCGAUCUUGAGUCCGGAAGAGGUGGGUGGAACUCCUAGUGUAGAGGUGGAAUUCGUAGAUAUUAGGAAGAACACCAGUGGCGAAGGCGGCUCACUGGUCCGGUACUGACGCUGAGGAGCGAAAGCAUGGGGAGCGAACAGG
rnacentral:rRNA from 1 species